rnacentral:rRNA from 1 species
CAGAUUGAACGCUGGCGGCAGGCUUAACACAUGCAAGUCGAGCGGGGAGAGGUAGCUUGCUACAUUACCUAGCGGCGGACGGGUGAGUAAUGCUUAGGAAUCUGCCUAUUAGUGGGGGACAACAUUCCGAAAGGAAUGCUAAUACCGCAUACGCCCUACGGGGGAAAGCAGGGGAUCUUCGGACCUUGCGCUAAUAGAUGAGCCUAAGUCAGAUUAGCUAGUUGGUGGGGUAAAGGCCUACCAAGGCGACGAUCUGUAGCGGGUCUGAGAGGAUGAUCCGCCACACUGGGACUGAGACACGGCCCAGACUCCUACGGGAGGCAGCAGUGGGGAAUAUUGGACAAUGGGCGAAAGCCUGAUCCAGCCAUGCCGCGUGUGUGAAGAAGGCCUUUUGGUUGUAAAGCACUUUAAGCGAGGAGGAGGCUACCGAGAUUAAUACUCUUGGAUAGUGGACGUUACUCGCAGAAUAAGCACCGGCUAACUCUGUGCCAGCAGCCGCGGUAAUACAGAGGGUGCGAGCGUUAAUCGGAUUUACUGGGCGUAAAGCGUGCGUAGGCGGCUUUUUAAGUCGGAUGUGAAAUCCCUGAGCUUAACUUAGGAAUUGCAUUCGAUACUGGGAAGCUAGAGUAUGGGAGAGGAUGGUAGAAUUCCAGGUGUAGCGGUGAAAUGCGUAGAGAUCUGGAGGAAUACCGAUGGCGAAGGCAGCCAUC